UACGGAAGAUGCGAGCGUUAUCCGGAUUUAUUGGGUUUAAAGGGAGCGUAGGCGGGCCUUUAAGCCAGCGGUCAAAUGUCAUGGCCCAACCUUGGCAUGCCGUUGGAACUGGAGGCCUUGAAUGCACACAAGGAAGGUGGAAUUCGUCGUGUAGCGGUGAAAUGCUUAGAUAUGGCGAAGAACUCCGAUUGCGCAGGCAGCCUUCUGGGGUGCGAUUGACGCUGAGGCUCGAGAGUGCGGGAAUCAAACA
rnacentral:rRNA from 1 species